ACUUAAAAAGCUCUAAGAGCUUUGCGUUGAAGGUGCAAAGGUGUAAAUAUUACUUUAAGUA
rnacentral:tRNA from 1 species